GGCCUUCCCGUCGGGGGACAGGGUGACAGGUGGUGCAUGGUUGUCGUCAGCUCGUGUCGUGAGAUGUUGGGUUAAGUCCCGCAACGAGCGCAACCCUCGACCUUAGUUGCCAGCAUUCAGUUGGGCACUCUAAGGUGACUGCCGGCUAAAAGUCGGAGGAAGUGGGGAUGACGUCAAAUCAUCAUGCCCCUUAUGACCUGGGCUACACACGUGCUACAAUGGGCGGUACAAAGGGUCGCGAACCCGCGAGGUGGAGCCAAUCCCUUAAAGCCGAUCGUAGUCCGGAUCGUAGUCUGCAACUCGACUGCGUGAAGUCGGAAUCGCUAGUAAUCGCAGAUCAGCAUGCUGCGGUGAAUACGUUCCCGGGUCUU
rnacentral:rRNA from 1 species